UACUGUUAACAUCUUACCGGGCAGCAUUAGAUUACAUUUUAUACUUCUAAUACUGUCAGGUAAAGAUGUCCUCCGGG
rnacentral:pre_miRNA from 1 species